AGGGAAUCUUCCACAAUGGACGCAAGUCUGAUGGAGCAACGCCGCGUGAGUGAAGAAGGCUUUCGGGUCGUAAAACUCUGUUAUUGAAGAAGAACGUGUGUGACAGUAACUGGUCAUGCAGUGACGGUAUUCAAUCAGAAAGUCACGGCUAACUACGUGCCAGCAGCCGCGGUAAUACGUAGGUGGCAAGCGUUGUCCGGAUUUAUUGGGCGUAAAGCGAGUGCAGGCGGUCUUUUAAGUCUGAUGUGAAAGCCCUUCGGCUUAACCGAA
rnacentral:rRNA from 1 species